CGUGUCGAGGCCUUGCGAUUGGAAGACGGAGAGCACCCGAUCGAGCGGAGUUUGUGGCGGGAAAAGAGAAUCGUCGGCUUGCUUGGCGCUGGCUGUGGUUCCAUCUCUUCUGCCGGUCAGGAUCGGUAUCGUCGGCCCUCCAGACUGUGAAAAUCCAAGCGAGAUCAGAAUGGUCAGCUCUUUCGCAUUCUUUCUUUCUUCCGAAAUGAUGGAAACUUUUGUUGUCUUACCAGAGCAAUGGCGUCCCGGGCAGCCAUGACGACGAUGUCCGCGCACGACACAACGCCAGGGCAGGAGGCCUCGAGCACCGACUUAAUCCGGUCGAUGGCGUCCAAUCGCCGGAUUCCAAAGUUGUUGGAGGAGGCGAGCUCGCUGGUGGUGACCGGGGAGAAGGAUUGAUUUUUGGUGGUGGCG
rnacentral:lncRNA from 1 species